UUCGCGCAGGUGUUUUCAAUCAGCUGAUGACCGACGCCGCUGAUUGCUUACUCCUCCUCCUCUGUUUAUUUAAACUUACUUCAGCCAACAGUUCCGUGAUGUUACUUUGAAGAGAAGCAGCACGAGCUGCGGAACCAGAAAAAAAAGACGCGGAAAAAGUGUAGCUGCUUAACUACUGAAACUGUUCCGGGAGGAGGGAACUUGUGGCGGUAAUGCACCAACCGCCAUAAAACCUAAAAAAAGAACGAAAGAAUUUAAAAAAAAAAGAAGAGAAAAAAAGGAAAACUACCGCGGCGUGAUGUCAGACGCCGAAAAGGUGGUCGCGUGCAUCAGCUCCUGUAUAAAAACGCAGCAAGGCGCUCCGGACCGGGAUGGCGUGUUCGACCUGGUCCAGAUUGGUGGCCCGUCCAGAAUGGAACAACCUUCUUCCUGCCCACGGAGACCUGGUCGGACCCGCCAUAUACAAAAGACUGAGACUGUCAAAAAAAGAUUGAUCUUCAUGAAGAUUGUCAAAUAGUAGGUGUCAUGAUUUAAUUCUGGGUGGCCGCUGUGUCCCCACUCUUUCUUGGCCGCUGUGCCUACAUCUAUCUGCAUUGUCCAACAUGGCCACGUUUUUUCUAUUCUCCUGCUUUCCAUCUGUCAAAUAGCUGAGGGUUGUACAUGGAGCAUUUGCCACAGGUUGGUUUUGUAUGUUCCUGUCCACUUUAUUGGGUGGUCUGAUCUGGUCCUUUUGGUUAUAUUUUUGUGGAACUGCUGAGUGAGUGAUUUGAAAGAAUGAGGUGACUGUGGAGUGUUUUAAAUUCUCUCUCUGAAUGAAUGGGUUGUGUGUGACUGCGAUGCCUGGAUUGAAUAGUUAAGAUUGUCUGAGAAUAUGAUUAUGUUCAGCAGUUCACAUUAAAGUAGAUAUGGUGUCUUGAAGGGCUUAGAUGCUCGAUAAGUUAUCAUGCACUAACAUUUCCUUUUUUAGGUCCGUCUACAAAGGGUGAGUCCAUAUUUUUUUUAAUUUCUUCUCUGGGGGCUAACGUCUUGGCCUCCAUGUGUGGUAGGGUUUGCAGAGUAGGGGAAUAAACGAAAGAGAACUUUUGUGUUGUUUUUUGAAAGUGAAGGCACUUAGGUGUCAGCAACUGACUUGCUAGUCUAGCUGCCCACAUCUAACUACAGAAUCACACUCUCUUGCCUUUCCUCACUUCUAAAAGGAAAAAAAAAAAUCACUUUAGCACUAAAAUAUAGUGAUGGAGGACCAGAUCUUAAAUGAGGUUUAAAUGGAUGUUGGUGUACAGUUAAAGCUAGAUGGUAGGAAUAAAAAUUAAUGUUGUGCCUUGUCACAAGACUUACACUUCUUGGCCGCUGUGCCUUUUUUUUUUUUUCUCUUUUCCAUCGUGGCCAUUAAUCCACCGUUAUCCCUAGCACGUUAAAAUAGAUCCUGGUGAUCUACAAAUACAGUACCUGGCUUUGGAUGGCAGCCGUGCCAUUGCCUUUGUAUGGCCAUACGUCCCUUAAUGCAAGUAGGCCAUUAUCGCCAACUGUGCCCGCGCCUUCAUAGCCUACUUGUGUUAUUGUAUGUCUGGCCUUGCGCGUAUAGUCAUUUUACAUAGACAAACAUGGGUGCCUUCCGCGUCCAUGCACAGUAAGUGAACUAACCUGUACUUUUCUUCUAGCAUCAGUCAAGAGGAGCACCGACAUCACUGCAUGUCCAUCCUAAUUAGAUUGCGUUUUAGUUAAGCGGUAAAAUUUCAAAUGGUAAAUCCAAUUUUUCUUUCUUGCUUGGCCGCCGUGCCAUUACUAUACCUGCUCUGACCUGAAUCUUGAUUCUUCAUGGCCACUGUGUCAUGACUGUACUUGGUCUUGGUGUUUAUGCCAGUCUAUAAUUUCUGAUCUUUUUUUCCCUACUAAGUUUUCGUGUGUGGUGUGUGGUGUGUGUGUGUGUGUGUGUGUUGACUGAUGACUGACGUUAAUCUGACAUUUGGACCAAGACUAACACUCCAACUUUAUGCUGCAAGACUGGCAAGAUGCACACUAAUUGGACAACAAGGAAAUUCAAAGUCUUUCAAAAACAGGUAAAAUGUUUACGUUUCAGGUAAGUAUUAAAGGCCUUUGCCACAUGAUCUUUGUGGGUAAACCAUGUCCACUCAAUUUCUAAAGUUAAUUUGCAUCUAAACAUUUACAAUGCCUGACACAAUGGCAUUACAAUAAUCUAAUUUUUUUGCAUUACUGAGUGCAAAGGCUUUAUUUACACACCGACGCAUGCCAAGACUGCCGUCAUGGCAUGUGUCACUGUCUCUCUCGCUGUUCUGCCUGUCCUGUGUGUCUUUCUGUCUUUCUAUGUGUCUCUGUCUUUCUGUCUUUCUCUUGCUGUCUGUCUGUCUUGUGUGUUUGGUCUUUGUCUGUCUUGUGUGUCUGGUCUCUGUCAGUCUGUCCUGUGUGUCUGGUCUCUGUCUGUCUGUCCUGUGUCAGAUUUAGUCACUUUUUAGUCUCAACUUAAAUGGAUGAUUUUAAAGUUGAUUGGUCUUGAGGUGUCUGAUUUCUGCAGGAAAUUCUGGUACUGUUAUUUUGAAAUGGCUUUAAUUUAAAAUUUUAAUUUUGGUCUUGAAUUUCAGUUAUCAUAGUUGCAACUUGGACUGUUGACAAACGUGGAAGCUGAUGAAUCAUGUAGUAAUUGCAUCAAAGUUUACUGUAGCUUGUUUAAAGUUCUUUGUAAGUGCUGUAAAAAUGUAGUAAUUGAUUAUGAUGAGCUAGACCAGGUCUUUAUUCUCAACUGGUAAUUGCUUUGAUAAGAUAACUGGUUUCUGAUUUGAUUAUGAAGCUAAACUUUUGAUUUAUAUGCAAGUGUAGUCACAUAGGAUUGUUGGUGUUAUUCAGCCCAUGGAUAAUGGUAUGAUAUACUUUAAAUCUGGCAUUUGUUGGCACACUUUUGAUAUCCAUUUAAGUCUUAAACUAUACACACUGCCAUCAGCCUUUGUAGUCGCUAACUGAAAUCGCAUUCAAUAUUAAUGCUGACUUGUCUCACUCUGCCAAGUUUAUUUCCCUCUAAAGGAGUUGAACCUUUUUGUGUUCAUAGCCUUUGCGCGUCAUGAUGGGAGGCCUCCCAGCAGGGGAUUUUUAUCUUCCUCUGCAAAACUAUGUGUUACUCGCCUUCGGGAUGCAGGGCUAUCCUGCAUAGUUUCUUUCAUAAAUUAGAUUGUAGGUUGCAGGAUUAGAGCGCGUUUCUUUUCUUUAGGAGGACACAAACCUGGCAGAGAGACAACUCGGAUUAUUUAAGUGAAAGUUGCGCCAAAUGUUCAAACUUUUUAUUUUUCGAUACGACUUGAAGUAAACCUUUAUUCUGUGGGCUGAAUUCAGACAAAUCAGACAGAAUUUGGCUUCAUGUUAAAGGUGACAUAUUAUACCCUAUAGACUGUUGUGCAAGUACCCUCUUGUAGCAGGAGUGAGCAGCUGCAGCUUUUUCAUUUAUUUUUUGUUAUUUGAUUUAUUUCUUGGAUUGACUUGGUGUCCGGAGCUUUGUGAUUAACAGUGAUCAUGUGUAACGUGUAAACACAAGUGGUCUUUUGCCUCUUAUUUGCGAAGCUGGCAGCUGGUUGAAAUGGUAGGACUUUAUGGCUUGCCCAUAAUGGGAUUUGUGAUAGAGCAUAGGGUUAACACCUCACCAUACACUAGCUAUUUCAGCGAACAAGUGUCUGUAGUCCGUUAUUACCCAUGACUUUCUUUCAAAUUUCACAAUUUAGGCAACUUGUAGAGUCAUUAGGAAGAUGCUUAAUCCCAAUGUCUUGGUUGGUUGCAUGAGAUAUUGCUAUCUCUUAGAUGUGUUGGUGAAGUUCCUCCUCUGAUUUUUGUAGACUUGCCCUAAAGUUUCUCUCUGCUUUAACUCUUGUUGAGCUAUGCAUUAAAUGAUUCCUCCAACUUGUCUCCAUAUCAAUUUUUUUCUCCCUGCAGGCUUCCACCACCCACUGCUGCUGUUGCAUCUGCUAAAGGUAGCCGUAUCCUGAUUCACUGCGUCUUCAUGUGUUGGGUAAGAAGUGUCAUUAGACUACUAACAAUGUAAACACCUUUUAAAUGCUUGAUCUAAUUUACCCAAAUGGUUCAUCAGUUUAGGACAAAAAAAUCGUUGAGUUUGACAUUCUUGGGGUCAGUAACCUGACCUCUAAAUGUUUGGGCAACCAUGCAAAAGAUCGCAAGCUCUCUGCAUGACCCAACAGCAUCGAUGUUUGAGUUAUUUAAUUGCUCAAUUUUUAAAUCAGUCAAGUUUUUAUGAGCUGGGUCUUCUUCACACAGCAGAGAACAAGGUAAAUUGAGUCGACUCGUAACAUGGUAAGGCUUUUCGUCCUUCCCCUUCUUCGUGUGUGAGGAAAUCUGGCCACGGAUCCUGACUGAGUGGCAUACCAUGGCUGUGCAGUUUCCAAAAUCAGACAAGGAUCCAUCUGAUUUUGUGACUCGGCCUGUCAUGAUAUGCAUGUAUCUUCCUCCGAAACAAAGGAUUGGAAUGGACAGGUUUGUAGUGUAAAUCACAUCACUUGUAGGUGGUGAAGCAUUUGUUUAAAUUGGAGUCAAGCAUUUUCAGGUGUCUGCUUUGUCAAUACUCUGGUGCCACGUCUUGCUAAACACACGAGAAGCUCUGAAUUGUGAAACUGCUGCCUCUUGCAGAUGUUACAACAGCAAUGGCUGUUGAAAGGCUGCAGGGAGAGAAAAUGAGAUCUGAGGACAGGAAAGUGGAAUUGAUUUCAUGCUUAGCAAAAUGAGGGUUUCAGCAGAGGACCUUUUUGUGGCAGGGCUACAGAAUCAGAAGGAACGUUUGUCUGGGCAACUGGGAGAUUUACAGUUUUUCAUGCAGCUAACCGAGACAUUGGGGUUAGCAUCAUCCCAAAUGGCUGGCAAAGAUUGCUUGUAACUGUCAGUGUAGAACAGGACAGGAAAGGCAGGUAUAGGUUAGGGAGGGCAUCCAUCGGUGAGCUCUGACUGGAUGUGAGCAUCUGUUACACUUGACCAGAGAUGAAGGCUGCAGCACAUUCCUGGGUCAGAGGACUCCAUGUUGGACACCACGACCUGGAGAAGUCCCGUCCUGGAUGGCUGCAGUGAUGACCUAGCCCAAGAUGAACAGACCCUUCUACGACGAGGACUUCGCCCAAGAUGAACCGACCUUUUCCACCUCUUUUCCACGGGAUGUCUUCAGAUGCUGGACCUUGCCAAACUGUACACAUGCCUCAAUGGCUGCUAUGUCAAAUGGACUUUAACCCCCACUGUACAUGUGCUUUAUCACCACACUAAAAUACAGACUCUGCUACUUUCAGCCUGUUUCAGUCUAAAAGAUCGCAAGCCCUCUGCAUGACCCAACAGCAUCGAUGUUUGAGUUAUUUAAUUGCUCAAUUUUUAAAUCAGUCAAGUUUUUAUGUGCUGGGUCUUCUUCACACAACAGAGAACAAGGUUAAUUGAGUCGACUCGUAACAUGGUAAGGCAUUUCGUCCUUCCCCUUCUUCUCUGUGUCUGAGGAAAUCUGGCCAUGGAUCCUGACUGAGUGGCAUACCAUGGCUGUGCAGUUUCCAAAAUCAGACAAGGAUCCAUCUGAUUUUGUGACUCGGCCUGCCAUGUUAUGUCAUGUAUCUUCCUCAAUGGUGUACAGACACUGCUACUUUCAGCCUGUAAUGGUAGACACUGAAAACAUGUAUUUAUU